CUGCAUUGGCUGUCGUCAGCUCGUGUCGUGAGAUGUCGUUAAGUCCGCUAACGAGCGCAACCCUCGCUGUGUGUUACAAGUGUCACACGGUACUGCCGGUCUUAAGCCGGAGGAAGGUGGGGAUGACGUCAAGUCCUCAUGGCCUUUAUGUCUAGGGCUACACACGUACUACAAUGGCCGGUACAAGGGGCAGCCACUCAGCGAUGAGGCGCUAAUCCCAUAAAGCCGGUCUCAGUCCGGAUCGCAGUCUGCAACUCGACUGCGUGAAGUUGGAAUCGCUAGUAAUCGUGGAUCAGCAUGCCACGGUGAAUACGUUCCCGGGCCUU
rnacentral:rRNA from 1 species